GCUGACUGCCGGCAGGGAAGGAGGUGUGUCUCUAGCUCCUGAGGGAGGACUGCCUGCACUCCAGGACACGGAGGGCAGCCAGUCAGAGACAGACCCUGACACACCGGCUUGGGACAUCGCGGAGAGGGGAAAGACCAGAGAAUCUGAGGCGGAGAACCCCAGAGGGUCAGCAUCCUGACCUUCCUAAGUUGCAAUUGAGGGGAUGAAGGAGUAUUGUUAGAUACUCAUGACAACUUGUACACCUUGGCCAUUUCAGCUGCUUCCAUCAGCCUGUCUCCAGCUGGCUUGGUUCCAGAAGAACACCCAGUCCUAGCCUCUGAAAGGCAUAAUUUCCAGCCUUACAAACUUACAUGCUACUUGAUGGUACUUACAUGCAUUAUGCCUUUGAAAAAAGUAAGUGGCACUGGAGACACAUGCCAGAAGCAGCCCCUGUUCACCCUUGAAAAGGUGUAAGACAGCAGAGUCCGGCCAGAGCACAGGAGUGUGGGGAAAUGUUUGUUUUAAAGUGUAUUAAAGAAUUUUUUUAAAGGAAAACUGGGAAAUACUCAUCCAGACUUU